GGACAGCCGUGUGCACCGUGCGCUGGGCCGGGCGGGGAGCAGCUGAGGCCACGUUGGGGGACCCCGGGCCCGGGGCAGGGCUCUGGGAGAGUGGCCUAGCCGUGUGUGCGCCCCUAGCCCAGCGGCUUCACUCCCUCCCGAGGGCCCCGUGGCCGCGGCUUUAGGCGUCCAGAGGAUCGAUCGCCGCCAGACAUCCCUGGCCGUGAUUGCCCGAGCACUUGACCGCGAGGGAUGGGGGCGCCGCGGCCUCUGGGCAGGGGACUCCGGGCGCCCCGAGGGAGCAGCCGGGACCAGUGCCUCGCGGACGGAUUGUGCCCCGCUCCCCCAAGGGGGACCCGCGUCGACACGCUCCUCGGUCACCGUCCUCCUCCUGCCCGGGCGCCGCCUGCCUAAGGUGGCCCCAGAAAGCACAAACGGGUCGGGCGGAUCUGCCGCUGGCGCCGGCGCAGCCCUUCCCACGUGCUCCUUCCGGCUGAUUUAUUUCUCCACCACGAUGCCAGGCACGGGCACCCUGUGCCAAGCCUGGUUAAGCGCCAGGAGUCCAAAAUGCCUGCCAUAGUCCCUGCGCAAAGUUCACGGCCUCGUGCCAGGGACAGACAGCGCCCCCUCCCCACCCCAACACAGGGUGGUGAGUGCGAUGGCAGAAGGCGCGUGUCCCGGCGCCCCUCCUGGAGUAGGAGGGCUAAGCCUGCCCUGCGGGGAGACCGAAAGGCUGGGAGGGACCUAGGACUGUGGGGGCCUGGGGGGAGGGCUGCAGAAACCCCAGAGCAUGGUGGCAGAGGCAGGCACAGAAAGCAGGACAAAUCUCACACCUGACCCCAGCAAGCCUUUCCUGGCACACCUCUUGCCAAAUGCUGAGCACUCUGGAAACAGCCAGUGCAGGCGGCCUGUCCCGCCCCUGUAGCUGCUGCUGGGAGCCUCCCUCGCCUGCGUCCUCCCAGAAUCUGGCCUCACUUCUGCAGGCCUGGGGUAACAUCUUGGGGUCAGCGCCCCAGGAGAGGAGGCGCCUGGAGGCAGCAGAGAUGUUUAUGUAACAGCAGCCAGGCAGCCUGGAGGAGCAGAUUUUCCAUAGAAGGAAGCGCGGGGCUGUGCAGCUCCCAGGCUGAGGACUCUGCCCACCACGACGUCCUCUGCUCCUGAGAAGAGAGUGGCCCAUUCGGUGUCCACCCGUCAGGCCACCCAGCAGCCAGGCACGCUCAUAAGCCCGCGUUACGGAUGGUGCGGCCGGGUGCACAGGCCCGAGGGAAGCACAGGCCUCGGCCUCCCAGCUCCCAACCCCUGCACCACCCACAGCCGGGAGUACCCCAUGGACAGCUGUGGCCGAGGAGAAGCCAGGGAUGAGGGGGAUGGGCCUCACCUCCCCACCAGCCUGGGAAGGGGGUAGGCCCCUGGCAAGUAGGAGGGAAGCUGAGGCUCAGAGACAUCAUGAGGAUGCCAGCUCAAGGCCCAGCCAGGCCUUGGUCCUCAGCUGCUGUCAUCCAGUAGGGUAAGUGGGACCCCCAGGAGGUGUUGGGGGACACUCCUCCCCUCCCCCACACUCACAGUCUGUUCACCGCCCAAGGCAGCAGGCUGGACUCGGUGCAGGGACCAUGGCUUGGCGUGGCCAGGUUGGAGUGGCCCCUGGGACUGAAAGCAGGGGGCGUGGGGGCUCUGAGGCGGGGCCGAGUGCGGGGACGUCCUGUGGCGGGUACCCUGCUGGGUCCUGGGUGGGGGCCACCACCAGGCAGCUGUGGGAACAUUCCAGACCACCUAGGAGUAGGGCCCCUUCACCGUUUGAAGCUGACUGUAAAAAACAUCUGACCUGUGUGCAAAGCUCAAGCCCAGAGGCCUCCAGGGUGUCCAGCCUCCAGGGUGCCUCCUACGCAGCCUCCACGUCCCCAUCCACUGCAGCCCCUGACCAUCGGGCACACCGUGGGGCCUUCGCUGGCCGCCGGGCCUCAGGUUCUGCUGCACCAAGUGAUUUUUAAAGCCCCAUCUGCCUUUCUCCACUUAUAAAGAACUUGGGACAUUUCCUCGAGGUUGGGCAUUUUUCCAGAUGUGGUUUCAGUGUCUCGCUUGCUACCUGGUCCCCUGUGCUGGGCGGUCCGCUGUGACGCACCUGGCAGUCCUUGCUCUAGGAUGGAUUCGGGCCGGCCCUUGUUCUGAGAACAGAGAACGGCCCUUGUUCUGAGGAGGCUGGGGUCUGGAAUCUGCUUCCUGGUCCCCUGCUGUGUGCAGACAGCCACCGUCACCCAGGCCCAGGGGUGCCUGCAGGUGCUGGGCAUCUCACCCUGGCCCCCACAGGGGCUCCCCAUGCCCUGCACCCCUCGGUCUGUGCCGGGGACUUCCCUGCUCUGCUGUUGCAGGCCUCGUCCUUUGCCGAGGGGGUCUCUUUCCCACGUGUCCCUGAGACUCCUCAGCCAUCCCAGAGGCUCUCGGCCGUCUGAGCACCCCUGACCAUGAAGCCUUCCUGGCCCACUCUCUGUGUGUGAGGCAGAGCCCAUCCCUACCAUUCCGACCCACACCAGAGGCUCCGGAAGGUUUGCUGACUGACCUGUGACUGCAAGAAGCUGAAGGAAUGUGGGCGCAGACCCGGCAGGGGCUUUUCUUGGUGCAAAGUCAACUGGCUGUCCAUGCAAGCCUGCUGCUGUGGCCAGCCCUCCCGCCAGGCGCCUGGUACCCUCCCUGGACCCAGUUGCCAGGACAGUGAUCCCCAGCUGUGGCCAGGACUCUGCCCGGGGCCCUGUCUACUCAGUGUCUCCAGUGGUCCCCAUGCAGAAACUGCCCCCCUUGCUGCCCAUGAGGCAUGGGAUAGGGUCAGCAUCCGAGAGGCAGGCCCUGCUGUUCCCCUCUGCACAGAGGCUGGGGGAGUGAGUUGCCCGGGCAAGUCCCCGGGCAGGCACUGGGCCUCCUGAGCAGGUGAGCUGAGAAGGCCCCAGCUGGUGUAGGCCUCGAGAGCUGCAGGACUGGCCAUGGGGCAGACCUGGCAUUGUCAUUCUAGAGCUGGGCCUGGGGGGUGGCUGGUGCAGUGCAGAUCUCAGGUGGAGGCCACCUGCCCGUCCUUUCCACGUGGCUCAGGGCUCAGACCCACCUGCCUGUCCCUGGAAGCCCCUAGACUGCUCAGAGCACAGACCUCAGUGGGAAAGACAGUAGAUAGGCCUGGGUAUGGUCUCCCAGCCCUGAGAAGUGGGGAGCCCACUCAGACCUUUCCAGGACCCCAGGUCCCCUCAGCAGCCCACAGAGCGUGGGUGGAGCCUGGGCUGGGGUUGGGUCACUUGGGAGCCAAAGGCCCAUUUCUGCUGCUUCCAGGGAGUCCCAGGGAGACGGCAGAGGCAGUGCCUGGCUGGGGCCCUGGUUGGCGUGCCGUUUGAGGGGUGCAUGCACUGGGAAGUUGGCCAGGCCUGCCCAAAUCAGGGGGCUUCCAGGAGGAGAGACAUCAGGAGGAUGGGCACAGAGGCGGCUUAGCACCAGGGCUGGCACCUCCAGGUAGGGGCUGUGGGGGGCUGGACCAGACAGGGAGGCUGUCACGAUGCCUGGCUGUUGGAUGGGGGCACAGAGGCUCUGAGUGGGGUGGCAGAGCUUGGCCACCAGGUCCAUCUGCACCCCCCAUGCCCCCUCACUACCCCCAGACCCCCAUGAUCCCAAACUACUCAGUCCCAGGGACCCCUGCAGAGCCUGUGGUGGGGGUGAUCUUCCACCCUGCCUGGCCCCUGCCCACCUCACCUCAGAACUUUCUCCAAAAAGUAAGAGCCCCGGGGGACGAAACUUCGAGGCUCCACCCCUUGGGCUCUGGUACAAACCCCGAGCCUCCUCCGAGGGCUGAGUCACUGGGAAAGCCGGGAUGGGCUGGCCCCUCCCCCUCCCUCUCCUUCCUUCCUCCUUCCCCCUUUCUCGGUCUCCCUCUUUUUCUCUUUGCUUUACUUCUCUUUCUUGCCUCCCUCUCUCCCUCUCUUCUUUCGUUCCUUUCAUCUUCUUCCCUUCCUCCGUCUUUGCCUUUCUUCUUUUCUGAGGGUAAAAAUAGCUGGAAAAC
rnacentral:lncRNA from 1 species